ensembl:vault_RNA Vault Vault RNA
UGGUCAGCUUCGGCUCAUGUAGUUACUUCCUUGUGCCAGACUCUCCGUCUGUGUAACCCCUGUGCUGGGGUUCAAGACCUGCAGGUGCUUUCUGACCUUUUA